AUUGAACGCUGGCGGCAGGCCUAACACAUGCAAGUCGAACGAGUGGCGGACGGGUGAGUAAUGUCUGGGAAACUUCCUGAUGGAGGGGGAUAACUACUGGAAACGGUAGCUAAUACCGCAUACCAUCGGAUGUGCCCAGAUGGGAUGCGCUUGUUGGUGGGGUAACGGCUCACCAAGGCGACGAUCCCUAGCUGGUCUGAGAGGAUGACCAGCCACAGUGGAAGUGAGACACGGUCCAGACUCCUACGGUGAGCAGCAGUGGGGAAUAUGGCACAAUGGGCGCAAGACUGAUGAAGCCAUGCCGCGUGUAUGAAGAAGGCCUUCGGGUUGUAAAGUACUUUCAGCGGGGAGGCGUUACCCGCAGAAGAAGCACCGGCUAACUCCGUGCCAGCAGCCGCGGUAAUUC
rnacentral:rRNA from 1 species